rnacentral:lncRNA from 1 species
CUGGAAGCUACUGCUGCUGUCCUGUUGUAUCUGACUUUUCGUGACCCCUUUUGGGGCUUUCUUGGCAAAGAAAGUGAGUGAUUUGCCAUUUCCUUUUCCAUCUCAUUUUCCAUAUGAGGAAACUGAGGCAAACAGGGUGAAGUGACUUGCCCAGUUUCACCUAGCUAGUAAGUGUCUGUCAGAGUGAAGGUUCCAACUAAAGUGGCCUUUAUGUCUUUGAUCCCCCAGAUUCCAGGAUUGAGAAGUUGGUAAAGAAUACCCCUGGGAUGCAGGGACCAAUCCAAGAUGACGACCUUCCUACCCUGAGACCUUUCCUCGUAAUUUCAGGGCAGAAAUUUCUGGAAAGGAGCAGAUCCUGGGACUGUCGCUAGACUGGUUUCUGAUCCUCCAGUCUUGAGGACAGAACUUGGGUAAAUGUAGAAUAUCAAAGAAAUUAUGAGGAGGGGGUGGCUGUGUAAAUGUGGAAACCCUGGCCUCAGUGCUUAAGGAAAGAAGGGAAAACUAUUGAUAUGGGUGACAGUGUGGGAGGCAGGAGUCCACCUGGUGACCAUGGGAGAGAAGAGAGAAUUCCGGGGCAGACAGAGGCCCUUCCUCCUGCACCUCCUGCUCUGCUUUCUCAAGACUCUGCCCUUCAGGAAAGGAGCACAGAGAAAGGAGGGAGAAAUGGCGUCCUCAAUGCUGCCAGCCAGAUACCAGGUGAGUUAGGGUUUCUUCUCUCCUCAGAUGCCAUCUUCUUUCUCAGAGUGAGGACACUUGGCUUUCCUUUGUCC